rnacentral:piRNA from 1 species
UACCUACCCCAUAUACAAGAGUCCUUGGUGG